rnacentral:rRNA from 1 species
AGUGAACGCUGGCGGCAGGCCUAACACAUGCAAGUCGAGCGGCAGCGCGUCCGACCACCCUCGGGUGGUCGGAUGGCGGCGAGCGGCGGACGGGUGAGGAAUGCAUCGGAAUCUGCCUCGUUGUGGGGGAUAACGUAGGGAAACUUACGCUAAUACCGCAUACGACCUACGGGUGAAAGUGGGGGGACCUUCGGGCCUCACGCGAUGAGAUGAGCCGAUGCCGGAUUAGCUAGUUGGCGGGGUAAAGGCCCACCAAGGCGACGAUCCGUAGCUGGUCUGAGAGGAUGAUCAGCCACACUGGAACUGAGACACGGUCUAGACUCCUACGGGAGGCAGCAGUGGGGAAUAUUGGACAAUGGGCGCAAGCCUGAUCCAGCAAUGCCGCGUGUGUGAAGAAGGCCUGCGGGUUGUAAAGCACUUUCAGUGGGGAAGAACAGAUUCGGGUCAAUACCCCGGAGCCCUGACGUUACCCACAGAAGAAGCACCGGCUAACUCCG